AUACGGAGGGUGCAAGCGUUAAUCGGAAUUACUGGGCGUAAAGCGCGCGUAGGCGGUUAUCUAAGUCAGAUGUGAAAUCCCUGGGCUCAACCUAGGAACCGCAUCUGAUACUGGGUAACUAGAGUUUUGGAGAGGUAAGUGGAAUUUCCGGUGUAGCGGUGAAAUGCAUAGAGAUCGGAAGGAACACCAGUGGCGAAGGCGACUUACUGGCCAAAAACUGACGCUGAGGUGCGAAAGCGUGGGUAGCAAACAGGAUUAGAUACCCUAGUAGUCC
rnacentral:rRNA from 1 species